UACGGAGGGGGCGAGCGUUAUUCGGAAUUAUUGGGCGUAAAGGGCGCGUAGGCGGCCCUGUAAGUCAAAGGUGAAAUCCCUCGGCUCAACUGAGGAACUGCCUUUGAAACUGCAGGGCUUGAGGCCGGGAGGGGGUAGCGGAAUUCCCAAUGUAGCGGUGAAAUGCGUAGAUAUUGGGAGGAACACCAGUGGCGAAGGCGGCUACCUGGACCGGUUCUGACGCUGAUGCGCGAAAGCGUGGGUAGCAAACAGG
rnacentral:rRNA from 1 species